rnacentral:rRNA from 1 species
AUGUAACAAGGUUUCGCGUAGGUGAACCUGCGGAAGGAUCAUUG